UACGGAGGAGGCAAGCGUUAUCCGGAAUUAUUGGGCGUAAAGCGUCCGUAGGUGGUUUAGUAAGUCUGCUGUUAAAGCGCGGGGCUUAACUCCGUAUCGGCAGUGGAAACUACUAGACUAGAGUGUGGUAGGGGUAGAGGGAAUUCCCAGUGUAGCGGUGAAAUGCGUAGAUAUUGGGAAGAACACCGGUGGCGAAGGCGCUCUACUGGGCCAUAACUGACACUGAUGGACGAAAGCUAGGGGAGCGAAAGGG
rnacentral:rRNA from 2 species